rnacentral:rRNA from 2 species
UAAGCAUAUCAAUAAGCGGAGGAAAAGAAACCAACAGGGAUUGCCUCAGUAACGGCGAGUGAAGCGGCAACAGCUCAAAUUUGAAAUCUGGCUCCCCUUGGGGGUCCGAGUUGUAAUUUGGAGAGGAUGUUUCUGGCGCGGCGCCUUCCGGAGUUCCUUGGAACAGGACGCCACAGAGGGUGAGAGCCCCGUACGGUCGGCCGCCAAACCUCCAAAAGAAACUCCUUCGACGAGUCGAGUAGUUUGGGAAUGCUGCUCAAAAUGGGAGGUAAAUUUCUUCUAAAGCUAAAUACCGGCCAGAGACCGAUAGCGCACAAGUAGAGUGAUCGAAAGAUGAAAAGCACCUUGAAAAGAGGGUUAAACAGUACGUGAAAUUGUUGAAAGGGAAGCGCCUGCGACCAGACUCGCGCCCCGCGGACCAGCCGGCGUUCUCGCCGGUGCACUCCGCGGGGUGCGGGCCAGCAUCGGUUUUCCCUGGGGGAGAAAGGCCGCGGGAACGUAGCUCCUUCGGGAGUGUUAUAGCCCGUGGCGUCAUGCCCCAGGGGGGACCGAGGACCGCGCUCGGCAGAUGC